GACUUUAAUCUCAGCUCAAUGGUAGAGUGCUUGACUACGAAUCAAGUGGUUGCAGGUUCGAGCCCUGCCAAGGUCA